rnacentral:pre_miRNA from 1 species
UAUAGUCUUCGUUUUAUUCGAAAUUUUUUGCGAUCAAUAUUUUUAUUGUUACUAGAUGAUAAAAUAUGAAUAGUACUUUAUGCGUGGCUAAUUUUUUAAAAUUUUUGUAUAAUUUUUUCAAAUAAGAUGAAUGGUCAAACAUUAAACACAGAAA